UUGCUCUGGCGAGUCUGUGUGAACUUGACUCGCUGUGUUUCCGGGUAGAGCCUCGCCUGACAGCUUCACACAGACCUGUCAGACCGCUCUCAUCAGCUGGAUGGUCUCAGAGGAUCCCAAACGCCCAAGGCCUCCUUCCGAGACGCUGUGUCAAGCUUAAUCACUGUUGUUGUUACCAGUGUUGUAAAGUUUAAGAAGAAAGCCCUCGCCCUCUCACUGGCUGGGAUGUAGUUGUCCUCAAUGAAGCCGUCAUCAUCUUCCUCGCUCACAGGAGGGAGACAGUGAGGGCUCAUUCCACGUCCCUCUCGCAUGGCAAAUUGCACCUCCAGGCCUGGAAACAAGACCAGACAAUCAUUAAAAACUGACUCUUAAACUCCCGUAACUGAAGCUGGGAUGGAAGUUGGUGUUAUAUUGUCUUCAGCAGGUCUGGCGGAAAUGUUGCAGAGCA